rnacentral:rRNA from 1 species
AGAGUUUGAUCCUGGCUCAGAUUGAACGCUGGCGGCAGGCCUAACACAUGCAAGUCGAACGGUAACAGGAAGCAGCUUGCUUCUUUGCUGACGAGUGGCGGACGGGUGAGUAAUGUCUGGGAAACUGCCUGAUGGAGGGGGAUAACUACUGGAAACGGUAGCUAAUACCGCAUAACGUCGCAAGACCAAAGAGGGGGACCUUCGGGCCUCUUGCCAUCGGAUGUGCCCAGAUGGGAUUAGCUUGUUGGUGGGGUAACGGCUCACCUAGGCGACGAUCCCUAGCUGGUCUGAGAGGAUGACCAGCCACACUGGAACUGAGACACGGUCCAGACUCCUACGGGAGGCAGCAGUGGGGAAUAUUGCACAAUGGGCGCAAGCCUGAUGCAGCCAUGCCGCGUGUAUGAAGAAGGCCUUCGGGUUGUAAAGUACUUUCAGCGGGGAGGAAGGGAGUAAAGUUAAUACCUUUGCUCAUUGGACGUUACCCGCAGAAGAAGCACCGGCUAACUCCGUGCCAGCAGCCGCGGU